UUUCAUUCCCCUCACAUAUAUUUUGAUCAGAGCAAUUUGUUUCUUAAUGCUGAGACCAGAAUCAAAGACACUAAAAGCAGUGCAGUUCAGAAAAAAGAUCUACUCAAUAGCCAGCAGAAAGCUGAGAUCUUCUGAUACAAU